rnacentral:rRNA from 1 species
UGAGUAACGCGUGGGUAACCUACCCCAAAGUCCGGGAUAACAGCGGGAAACCGCUGCUAAUACCGGAUGUCUUUACCUUGGGGCAUCUUGAGGUAAAGAAAGGUAACGCUUUGGGAUGGGCCCGCGCCCCAUUAGCUAGUUGGUGAGGUAACGGCUCACCAAGGCGACGAUGGGUAGCCGGCCUGAGAGGGUGGACGGCCACACUGGGACUGAGACACGGCCCAGACUCCUACGGGAGGCAGCAGUAGGGAAUAUUGCGCAAUGGACGGAAGUCUGACGCAGCGACGCCGCGUGAGCGAUGAAGGUCUUCGGAUCGUAAAGCUCUGUCCUUGGGGAAGAAGGCGAAAGCUUGACGGUACCCAAGAAGAAAGCCCCGGCUAACUACGUGCCAGCAGCCGCGGUAAUACGUAGGGGGCGAGCGUUGUCCGGAAUUACUGGGCGUAAAGGGUGCGUAGGCGGCCCUUUAAGUCGGAUGUGAA